rnacentral:rRNA from 1 species
CGUGAGGGAAAGGCGAAAAGAACCCCGGCGAGGGGAGUGAAAAAGAACCUGAAACCGUGUACGUACAAGCAGUGGGAGCACAGAGCAAUCUGUGUGACUGCGUACCUUUUGUAUAAUGGGUCAGCGACUUAUAUUCUGUAGCAAGGUUAACUGAAUAGGGGAGCCGAAGGGAAACCGAGUCUUAACUGGGCGUUAAGUUGCAGGGUAUAGACCCGAAACCCGGUGAUCUAGCCAUGGGCAGGUUGAAGGUUGGGUAACACUAACUGGAGGACCGAACCGACUAAUGUUGAAAAAUUAGCGGAUGACUUGUGGCUGGGGGUGAAAGGCCAAUCAAACCGGGAGAUAGCUGGUUCUCCCCGAAAGCUAUUUAGGUAGCGCCUCGUGAAUUCAUCUCCGGGGGUAGAGCACUGUUUCGGCAAGGGGGUCAUCCCGACUUACCAACCCGAUGCAAACUGCGAAUACCGGAGAAUGUUAUCACGGGAGACACACGGCGGGUGCUAACGUCCGUCGUGAAGAGGGAAACAACCCAGACCGCCAGCUAAGGUCCCAAAGUCAUGGUUAAGUGGGAAACGAUGUGGGAAGGCCCAGACAGCCAGGAUGUUGGCUUAGAAGCAGCCAUCAUUUAAAGAAAGCGUAAUAGCUCACUGGUCGAGUCGGCCUGCGCGGAAGAUGUAACGGGGCUAAACCAUGCACCGAAGCUGCGGCAGCGACACUGUGUGUUGUUGGGUAGGGGAGCGU